rnacentral:lncRNA from 10 species
ACAAGGAUGAUAGGAUGAGAAAAAGAAAGGACAAAGGCACCAGAGGAGGUAUGCCAAAUGGGAAACUUUUCAUCACUUUCCAGAUAAAAACUAGCAGUCUGUGAAGGCAACUGGUCUGAUUUUUCAGGUAAGAACAUAUGAGAGGCAGGCUGAGACCAAUUUUCUACCAGGCCAGCUAAUUCAUCACAAUGACAAGCUAUGGGUCAUAUGCUUUCAGGAACCAGACACUGGAACAUGUCGUCUGAUGUACAUCACACCAAGAAAUAAAAAAAGAAUUGGAAAGCCAAUGUCCAAUUAUUUACUAAAACAGAAUCCACUGGAGAGAAAUGCAAAGGCAGGUAAAAAGGCAAUCUCUUAACAUGAAAACUCACAACUGUAAAAUGAGAACCUAAACUAUACAGCGACAAACUCAGGAAAAAGUCUCCAGCUACUGCUGUCUCUCAGACUCUCACAGUAUGUGUAACCACUUCCUCCUCUGCACGGAAUCACCCCAGAAGAUCAACUCUACUAGAUCAUUUGAGGACAAUGAACAAAGUCUCAAGACUGAAUUCCCACAGAAAACAUUCUCAUGAAACCACCCAAUAUUCUGGUGAAGUUAAAGAAGGGCAUGUGUUCGGAGACAACCAGAAGCAGCAAUGCUCAAAACCACAAAACUCUGGAUUGCCGACUCUGCACAUCCUGGUUCCUCUAGAUACAGUUCAGUGGCACAUUCACAAAUAAACGUUUUCAAAAACUGCCCUCAGGCAGUUCUAGAGAAAUGCUUUGACUUGCCUAAUGGUAUAAUGUCAAGAAAGGAAGACGAGCACUGAUCAUUCAUACUCAUUAUUACAGUCACAGGGCACUGUCUGACUUGACAGAUACAGCCGAGCAGUUAAAAGGUUAUGGGAAUUUAAGUCCAUUAUGGUCAUACGAUUCUUAUGGACCCAGAGAUAUGAAAUUAAUCAGCCACAUGUGUAGGGACAAAGUUUGUCAUAAAUAGAUAUAAGUUAUCUGCAUGCUAAGAACUUAGUUACUUAACUCUGUUUCCUCAUGUUAAUAUAAACAUAAUUAUAGAAUGCAAAUGAAAUACUUAGCCUGGAGCCUAUUAUAUAGGAAGCACUCAAUAAUUUCAAACUAUUGAGUAUAUUAUUAGAUAGGCUCCAUAAUUAUUUAUUCCUUUUUCAACAGACAGUAUGAUCUAUUGAAAAUAAAGCCAAACUAGAUUUCUUUGACCCACUCCUUUUUCUGUUUGUAUUGUUGGCAAGUUGUUCUAAAUCAACUUGCCAACAUACUAUUAACAUGUUAUUAACAUAGAAGGGAUGCUUAUUUUGUUUGCUUUGUAAGAAAUGCUUCUGAUUCAGUAACUGGGCAAUUUAUUUAAAUAUAAGUAAAAAGCAGAUUUUAUUAAAAACUACUUUGUGCUAUCAUAAAUAA